rnacentral:misc_RNA from 1 species
AACGCACCUUGCGCUCCUUGGUAUUCCGAGGAGCAUGCCUGUUUGAGUGUCAUGAAAUCUUCAACUUACAGACCUUUGCGGGUUUGUAGGCUUGGACUUGGAGGCUUGUCGGCCGUGUUUCGGUCGGCUCCUCUCAAAUGCAUUAGCUUGAUUCCUUGCGGAUCGGCUCUCGGUGUGAUAAUGUCUACGCCGCGACCGUGAAGCGUUUUGGCGAGCUUCUAACCGUCCUCGUUUGGGACAGCUUUUUAUGACCUCUGACCUCAAAUCAGGUAGGACUACCCGCUGAACUUAA